UUCGGACUGCAGGCUGCAACUCGCCUGCAUGAAGCCGGAGUUGCUAGUAAUCGCGGAUCAGAAUGCCGCGGUGAAUGCGUUCCCGGGUCUUGUACACACCGCCCGUCACACCAUGGAAGUUGGGGGUGCCCAAAGCCGGCAGGGAAAUAUGCUGUCUAAGGCAAAACCAAUGACUGGGGUGAAGUCGUAACAAGGUAGC
rnacentral:rRNA from 1 species